GUUGAACCAGAUUUCACACCCAAGACCAAUAGCUUCAAGCCGAGCAUGAUUUCACACCCAUUCAGACCAAUAGCUUCAAGCCUUAAGAACAUGAUUUGAAGUUUGCACAUGAGUCCUCAGUGAAGAGACCACCAUCACCGCCACCACCACCACCGUCGUAAGCACCGCCACCGCCCUAGCACCGUCACCGCCGUAAGCACCUCCACCGUCUAAGAGAUUAAUUACCCCAUCCCUUCCCCAACUCCGGUCAGCCUCUCUCCGGUCGUCUUCUCCGACCACUUUUUUUGAUGGAGCUUGGACAUCUUCGGCUGUGGGGGUGGUUAUAGAUCCGGUGGUGGGGGUGGUUGUAGAUUGACCGGUGGUGGGGGUCGGAUUGAGCGGUUGCAUCUUCUCCUCAUCGGACGUCGUUUUAUCAAAUCUCGACACAACUUUGAAGGCAUUGCAAUCGGUGUUGUACACUGACACAUGUGGUCGCGGUUGGUGCUAUAAUCGCAACGACCAUGUUGGUCAAGCGGGCAAAGACAAAGGUGGUGGUUACAAUCGGAGAAGAUGAUAUUCGUGUACCUAUAUGAUUUGAGAUCGUUAUAUACAUAUGUGUACAGGAACAUAUACAUAUAUGUACAUUGCUUGAUUUUAGUUGUUUUUUAGAGCUCGUUAUAUGUGUACAGGAACAUAUACGUAUGUGUACAUUGCUUGAUUUUAGUUGU